rnacentral:rRNA from 10 species
ACAUGUAUCAAACCUGCCUGUUGUGCACUUGUACCCUAGAACUUACAUUAAAAAAAAAAAAAAAGCUAAGCAAGAUUGGGUUUGGCUAGUACUUGAAUGGGAGACCAUUAGGAAAUACCAAGUGUUGUAGGCA